UCUGGUUGAUCCUGCCAGUAGUCAUAUGCUUGUCUCAAAGAUUAAGCCAUGCAUGUCUAAGUAUAAGCAAUUUAAACAGUGAAACUGCGAAUGGCUCAUUAAAUCAGUUAUCGUUUAUUUGAUAGUUCCUUUACUACAUGGUAUAACUGUGGUAAUUCUAGAGCUAAUACAUGCUUAAAAUCUCGACCCUUUGGAAGAGAUGUAUUUAUUAGAUAAAAAAUCAAUGUCUUCGGACUCUUUGAUGAUUCAUAAUAACUUUUCGAAUCGCAUGGCCUUGUGCUGGCGAUGGUUCAUUCAAAUUUCUGCCCUAUCAACUUUCGAUGGUAGGAUAGUGGCCUACCAUGGUUUCAACGGGUAACGGGGAAUAAGGGUUCGAUUCCGGAGAGGGAGCCUGAGAAACGGCUACCACAUCCAAGGAAGGCAGCAGGCGCGCAAAUUACCCAAUCCUAAUUCAGGGAGGUAGUGACAAUAAAUAACGAUACAGGGCCCAUUCGGGUCUUGUAAUUGGAAUGAGUACAAUGUAAAUACCUUAACGAGGAACAAUUGGAGGGCAAGUCUGGUA
rnacentral:rRNA from 1 species